UUAAGCGGAUGAAGAAAUCAGUGAAAAAAUACAGUAUUGAAGGAAAGUGGAGUCGUCAGAGAUGAAGUAACUUGCCGAGGUCACAACUAGCAGGUGUUGGCACCAGGACCCAAACCCCAUCAGUGUGGUUCUGAAGAUCAGACUCUGAGGUACUGUCUGCACUGACUGCCUCUCAGUCUACUCAGUGUCCACUGCAUGCAGAGCACUGAGCCAGGUAGCAAGGAAAGGAAGGAAUAGAGGACAUCCAUACCCCAGCGACUGCUGGCUCAGGCAGAACCUCUCCUCUCUCUCAGGCUUGUUCGGCUCCCUGCUUUGUGUGCUCACUGGUUCCUGUACAGCCUUUUAUCAAAGCACCGCAUUGUCUUUGAAACUUUGUCUUUCUUACUAGCAUGUCAUCUAGGCUUAAUCAUCUCCAUAUCACCAACGACUAACAAAAUUUCUAGUUUAUUAAAUAAUUAACUGAGUUGCACUGAAAGAAAAGUUAUGAAAGUUAUUGACCAAGUGUGCCUAUCCCAUAGGAAGUAAUAUCUUGGCAAGUUUAUGCCAAGAGUAGGGCCUUGGGAAACUGCUGGGUUUGGAUCCUGGGUUUAACAUUUGGUGUUACUGUGACUUCCUGAGCUCUCUUAGUUUAUUCAUCUGUAGAAUGGAGACAAUAGGAUUUAUCUGACUGGAUUUCUAUGAAGAGUAAAAGAUGCCCUGCCCCUGCCUGCAACCAGGCAAGCCAGGGAGCAUGCCCGGGGUCCUGAGGCCAGGACUGUGGGCCACCCCACCCCUGCCCGCAAGAAUAUCUUAGAAUGCAUUUAUUAGCCAUUUGUGUUUCUUUGUGGGGGGUGUGACUUGUCUGCUCAUGUCCUUCGCCAAGUUUCUGUUAAGAUUUUUCUAAUUCAUUUUAAAGAAUUCUUUUUGCAUUAGGGAUGUUAAUCUUUGUUAAAGUUGUUCCUUAUAAAUUGACUUUAAAUUCAAUUUUUGAUGUUUUCCUUCAUUUGUAUGUUGAGAAAAUAAUUUUCUAUCUAGACAUUAAAUUAAAGAAUAAAAGAAAUAAUGCCUAGGAUAAUAAUGAAUAAUAAGUGUUAACUACUAAGUAACCAUCCAUCAUGACUACUUUAAGACACUUUAAAUGGAACUAAAUAAAGAGAAUUUAAAGUCCU